GACGAACGCUGGCGGCGCGCUUAACACAUGCAAGUCGAACGGAAAGGCCUGCUUUCCCUUGUGGACUGCGGGUACUCGCGUGGCGAACGGGUGAGUAACACGUGAGUGAUCUGCCCCCAACUUGUGUAUAAGCCUGGGCAACUGGGUCUAAUUCCCGAUAGGACCGCAGGGUGGUGCCUGUGGUGGAAGACGAUUUUCUAGGGCUUGGGGCUGAGCGCGCGGCCUAUCAGCUUGUUGGUGGGGUAAUGGCCUACCAGGGCGGCGACGGGUAGCCGGCCUGGGAGAGUGGACGGCCACAUUGGGACGGAGAUACGGCCCAGACUCCUACGGGAGGCAGCAGUGGGGAAUAUGGCACAAUGGGCGGAAGCCUGAGGCAGCGACGCCGCGUGGGGGAUGACGGCCGUCGGGUUGUAAACUCCUUGCGGCCGCGAGGAAGCCACCUGGUUGGAAGGGUGGUGACGGUAGUGGUAGAAGAAGCACCGGCUAACUACGUG
rnacentral:rRNA from 1 species